rnacentral:rRNA from 1 species
GAGUUUGAUCAUGGCUCAGGAUGAACGCUGGCGGCGUGCUUAACACAUGCAAGUCGAACGAACCUUCGGGUUAGUGGCGGACGGGUGAGUAACGCGUGAGAAUCUGCCCUCAGGAGGGGGAUAACAGCUGGAAACGGCUGCUAAUACCCCAUAUGCCGCGAGGUGAAAUGAAUUUCGCCUGAGGAUGAGCUCGCGUCUGAUUAGCUAGUUGGUGUAGGUAAAGGCUCACCAAGGCAUCGAUCAGUAGCUGGUCUGAGAGGAUGAUCAGCCACACUGGGACUGAGACACGGCCCAGACUCCUACGGGAGGCAGCAGUGGGGAAUUUUCCGCAAUGGGCGAAAGCCUGACGGAGCAACGCCGCGUGAGGGAUGAAGGCCUCUGGGCUGUAAACCUCUUUUAUCAAGGAAGAAGAUCUGACGGUACUUGAUGAAUAAGCCACGGCUAAUUCCGUGCCAGCAGCCGCGGUAAUACGGGAGUGGCAAGCGUUAUCCGGAAUUAUUGGGCGUAAAGCGUCCGCAGGCGGCCCUUCAAGUCUGCUGUUAAAAAGUGGAGCUUAACUCCAUCAUGGCAGUGGAAACUGUUGGGCUUGAGUGUGGUAGGGGCAGAGGGAAUUCCCGGUGUAGCGGUGAAAUGCGUAGAUAUCGGGAAGAACACCAGUGGCGAAGGCGCUCUGCUGGGCCAUCACUGACGCUCAUGGACGAAAGCCAGGGGAGCGAAAGGGAUUAGAUACCCCUGUAGUCCUGGCCGUAAACGAUGAACACUAGGUGUCGGGGGAAUCGACCCCCUCGGUGUCGUAGCCAACGCGUUAAGUGUUCCGCCUGGGGAGUACGCACGCAAGUGUGAAACUCAAAGGAAUUGACGGGGGCCCGCACAAGCGGUGGAGUAUGUGGUUUAAUUCGAUGCAACGCGAAGAACCUUACCAGGGUUUGACAUCCUGCGAACCUCUUGGAAACGAGAGGGUGCCUUCGGGAGCGCAGUGACAGGUGGUGCAUGGCUGUCGUCAGCUCGUGUCGUGAGAUGUUGGGUUAAGUCCCGCAACGAGCGCAACCCACGUCUUUAGUUGCCAGCAUUUAGUUGGGCACUCUAGAGAGACCGCCGGUGAUAAACCGGAGGAAGGUGUGGAUGACGUCAAGUCAUCAUGCCCCUUACAUCCUGGGCUACACACGUACUACAAUGCUACGGACAAAGGGCAGCAAGUUCGCGAGGACAAGCAAAUCCCAUAAACCGUGGCUCAGUUCAGAUCGUAGGCUGCAACUCGCCUACGUGAAGGAGGAAUCGCUAGUAAUCGCAGGUCAGCAUACUGCGGUGAAUACGU